CAGCAGCCGCGGGAAUACGUAGGUGGCGAGCGUUGUCCGGAAUCAUUGGGCGUAAAGGGAGCGCAGGCGGGCAUGUAAGUCUUUCUUAAAAGUGCGGGGCUCAACCCCGUGAUGGGAAAGAAACUACAUGUCUUGAGUACAGGAGAGGAAAGCGGAAUUCCCAGUGUAGCGGUGAAAUGCGUAGAUAUUGGGAGGAACACCAGUGGCGAAGGCGGCUUUCUGGACUGCAACUGACGCUGAGGCUCGAAAGCCAGGGGAGCGAACGGGAUUAGAUACCCCUGUAGUCCCUGUCUCUUAUACA
rnacentral:rRNA from 1 species